AGUGAACGCUGGCGGUAGGCCUAACACAUGCAAGUCGAACGACAGCACAGUAAGAGCUUGCUCUUACGGGUGGCGAGUGGCGGACGGGUGGGGAAUACAUCGGAAUCUACUUUUUCGUGGGGGAUAACGUAGGGAAACUUACGCUAAUACCGCAUACGACCUACGGGUGAAAGCAGGGGAUCUUCGGACCUUGCGCGAUUGAAUGAGCCGAUGUCGGAUUAGCUAGUUGGCGGGGUAAAGGCCCACCAAGGCGACGAUCCGUAGCUGGUCUGAGAGGAUGAUCAGCCACACUGGAACUGAGACACGGUCCAGACUCCUACGGGAGGCAGCAGUGGGGAAUAUUGGACAAUGGGCGCAAGCCUGAUCCAGCCAUACCGCGUGGGUGAAGAAGGCCUUCGGGUUGUAAAGCCCUUUUGUUGGGAAAGAAAAGCAGCAGGUUAAUACCCCGCUGUUCUGACGGUACCCAAAGAAUAAGCACCGGCUAACUUCGUG
rnacentral:rRNA from 1 species